rnacentral:rRNA from 1 species
UACGAAGGGGGCUAGCGUUGCUCGGAAUCACUGGGCGUAAAGCGCACGUAGGCGGCUUCUUAAGUCAGGGGUGAAAUCCUGGAGCUCAACUCCAGAACUGCCUUCGAUACUGGAAGACUUGAGUCCGGGAGAGGUGAGUGGAACUGCGAGUGUAGAGGUGAAAUUCGUAGAUAUUCGCAAGAACACCAGUGGCGAAGGCGGCGACCUGGGGCAGAUACUGACACUGAGGUGCGAAAGCGUGGGGAGCAAACAG